GGAUACGCAUGAUGAACUAGAAGUUGGUUAUUGCUUUCUAGCUAACAAUCUACUUGACUAAAUUCUGUGUAAAGUAAAAAUAUCUUUGAUAUACCUCUGCAUUACUGUUCGUUGGAAAAAUAUUGCACUCUGCGGUUGAUAUUACAAGCUGGUCUAGUUUAUCGUUAUGAGGAGAUUCAAUGCUGAGGAGAUCUACAAUGACGCAUAUGUAAUUUAUGAGCCUGUUUCUCAAAGGAUGUGUAAAAUUCCAACGGAAAGCUCAACACCGGAAAUUUUGUACAGUUUCAGUAUAUGUACAUAUGUCCAACAUUCGAAGCCAAAUUGAAAUGGAGCUUUGGAUCGAUGUUCAAAGAACUAUUGCAGUAUUGAAGAAAUAGCAUGAUUGGAUUCAGGUAAACUAUUAUAAUUUUCUUGUACAGAACUCGAUUUAUAUUUUCGGUUUUGGGAAGUCUCGCCGCAAAGUUACUGAACUAUGUAGGAUUUAAUGUAACAACAAAUAAUCUUUGUUAGAGAAAUGAGCAUUUAUUUGUUAUUUCAGAAUUUCCAUUUUAUUUCAUACAACCCUGACAUUAUGAUUGAAUACACUGUCUUCCUUCCCAGAAAGCACUAGUCGCCGUUGCGUCAGUCAUUUGGCUUUCCUGUAUUACGCUGUCAGUAAAAGUUUUCGGACUGAAAUUUCAGCUGGCUUAAGGCAAUAUUUUCUUCCUAAUGACAGCUAAAGCCAUUGUCCAUUGUCGUUUCUUCGUUAUCAUUAGAUGAAGACGAUAAUUUCAUCUGAUGACUUUGAAGCCCGGUACCCACAGGGAACAGUGUGUUUUGGAUUCUUCUAAACUUUUCUUAACAUGACGUGUUCUGGACUGAAAGGAUAACCGCGAAAGUAUAAUUAAAAAGCUAUAUUUAAUAUAAGGCAACUAACUAAAGUACAGGACCGGCAAGUGAGAAUCGGAUCUCACUCCUCCUCCUACGGAACGCCUGCUCAGAUAACUUUGUUUAGUUCUCUCGUCAUCCUACGGAUAGCUAAAGCAAGAGCCUGCAGAGUCACGAUGGCCACUGUUCGGCAUACCGAAAAGCAUUCAACAAGGAUAAGACUAUGGCAGAAGGUCAUCGAUCAUAUUUGUAAUUAUAUAAUUAUGGUAAGACGUAGGAAGCCAAUUUAAUUUAAAGUUUCAGCAGAAGGACUUGGACUAAAAGAGGAUUAAAGGACCCAAAUUACCCUUCUGAAGAUAAUCUGUAGUGCUCUUUAUUUAUUAUUCAAAAUUUCUUUUUUUGGAAUACU